rnacentral:rRNA from 1 species
GGUUAAGCGACUAAGCGUACACGGUGGAUGCCUAGGCAAUCAGAGGCGAUGAAGGACGUGCUAAUCUGCGAAAAGCGUCGGUAAGGUGAUAUGAACCGUUAUAACCGACGAUGUCCGAAUGGGGAAACCCAGUGCAAUUCGUUGCACUAUCGUUUGAUGAAUCCAUAGUCAAACGAGGCGAACCGGGGGAACUGAAACAUCUCAGUACCCCGAGGAAAAGAAAUCAACCGAGAUUCCCCUAGUAGCGGCGAGCGAACGGGGAGCAGCCCAGAGUCUUAAUCAGCAUCAGCAUUAGGAGAACGGUCUGGAAAGGCCGGCAAUAAAGGGUGAUAGCCCCGUAUCCGAAGGUGUUGGUGUUGUGAACUCGACGAGUAGGGCGGGACACGUGUUAUCCUGUCUGAAUAUGGGGGGACCAUCCUCCAAGGCUAAAUACUCCUGAUUGACCGAUAGUGAACCAGUACCGUGAGGGAAAGGCGAAAAGAACCCCGGCGAGGGGAGUGAAAUAGAACCUGAAACCGUGUACGUACAAGCAGUGGGAGCCUUGAUUUAUCAGGGUGACUGCGUACCUUUUGUAUAAUGGGUCAGCGACUUAUAUUCUGUAGCAAGGUUAACCGAAUAGGGGAGCCGUAGGGAAACCGAGUCUUAACUGGGCGAAUGAGUUGCAGGGUAUAGACCCGAAACCCGGUGAUCUAGCCAUGGGCAGGUUGAAGGUUGGGUAACACUAACUGGAGGACCGAACCGACUAAUGUUGAAAAAUUAGCGGAUGACUUGUGGCUGGGGGUGAAAGGCCAAUCAAACCGGGAGAUAGCUGGUUCUCCCCGAAAGCUAUUUAGGUAGCGCCUCGUGAACUCAUCUUCGGGGGUAGAGCACUGUUUCGGCUAGGGGGUCAUCCCGACUUACCAACCCGAUGCAAACUACGAAUACCGAAGAAUGUUAUCACGGGAGACACACGGCGGGUGCUAACGUUCGUCGUGAAGAGGGAAACAACCCAGACCGCCAGCUAAGGUCCCAAAGUCAUGGUUAAGUGGGAAACGAAGUGGGAAGGCUCAGACAGCCAGGAUGUUGGCUUAGAAGCAGCCAUCAUUUAAAGAAAGCGUAAUAGCUCACUGGUCGAGUCGGCCUGCGCGGAAGAUGUAACGGGGCUAAACCAUGCACCGAAGCUGCGGCAGCGACAUGUAAAUGUUGUUGGGUAGGGGAGCGUUCUGUAAGCCUGUGAAGGUGUGCUGCGAGGCAUGCUGGAGGUAUCAGAAGUGCGAAUGCUGACAUAAGUAACGAUAAUGCGGGUGAAAAACCCGCACGCCGGAAGACCAAGGGUUCCUGUCCAACGUUAAUCGGGGCAGGGUGAGUCGACCCCUAAGGCGAGGCAGAAAUGCGUAGUCGAUGGGAAACAGGUUAAUAUUCCUGUACUGGUGAUAAUUGCGAUGGGGGGACGGAGAAGGCUAGGCUGGCCGGGCGACGGUUGUCCCGGUUUAAGGAUGUAGGUGGGCGAAUUAGGCAAAUCCGGUUCGCUAUACACUGAGGUCUGAUGACGAGUCACUACGGUGGCGAAGUAGCUCAUGCCCCGCUUCCAGGAAAAGCCUCUAAGCUCUAGAUUAUCAUUAAUCGUACCCCAAACCGACACAGGUGGUCAGGUAGAGAAUACUCAGGCGCUUGAGAGAACUCGGGUGAAGGAACUAGGCAAAAUGGUGCCGUAACUUCGGGAGAAGGCACGCUGGCAUUAGGUGAAGUGGUUUACCCAUGGAGCUGAAGCCAGUCGCAGAUACCAGCUGGCUGCAACUGUUUAUUAAAAACACAGCACUGUGCAAACACGAAAGUGGACGUAUACGGUGUGACGCCUGCCCGGUGCUGGAAGGUUAAUUGAUGGGGUUAUCCGUAAGGAGAAGCUCUUGAUCGAAGCCCCAGUAAACGGCGGCCGUAACUAUAACGGUCCUAAGGUAGCGAAAUUCCUUGUCGGGUAAGUUCUGACCUGCACGAAUGGCGUAAUGAUGGCCAGGCUGUCUCCACCCGAGACUCAGUGAAAUUGAACUCGCUGUGAAGAUGCAGUGUACCCGCGGCAAGACGGAAAGACCCCGUGAACCUUUACUAUAGCUUGACACUGAACAUUGAGCCUUGAUGUGUAGGAUAGGUGGGAGGCUUUGAAGUGUGGACGCCAGUCUGCAUGGAGCCAACCUUGAAAUACCACCCUUUAAUGUUUGAUGUUCUAACGUAGCCCCAUAAUCUGGGGUGCGGACAGUGUCUGGUGGGUAGUUUGACUGGGGCGGUCUCCUCCCAAAGCGUAACGGAGGAGCACGAAGGUUGGCUAAGCAUGGUCGGACAUCAUGCGGUUAGUGCAAAGGCAUAAGCCAGCUUGACUGCGAGAGUGACGGCUCGAGCAGGUACGAAAGUAGGUCUUAGUGAUCCGGUGGUUCUGAAUGGAAGGGCCAUCGCUCAACGGAUAAAAGGUACUCCGGGGAUAACAGGCUGAUACCGCCCAAGAGUUCAUAUCGACGGCGGUGUUUGGCACCUCGAUGUCGGCUCAUCACAUCCUGGGGCUGAAGUAGGUCCCAAGGGUAUGGCUGUUCGCCAUUUAAAGUGGUACGCGAGCUGGGUUUAGAACGUCGUGAGACAGUUCGGUCCCUAUCUGCCGUGGGCGUUGGAAGAUUGAAAGGGGCUGCUCCUAGUACGAGAGGACCGGAGUGGACGCACCGCUGGUGUUCGGGUUGUCAUGCCAAUGGCACUGCCCGGUAGCUAAGUGCGGAAGAGAUAACCGCUGAAAGCAUCUAAGCGGGAAACUUGCCUUGAGAUGAGUCUUCCCUGACUCUUUAAGGGUCCUAAAGGAACGUUUAAGACGAAGACGUUGAUAGGCUGGGUGUGUAAGCGUAGCGAUACGUUGAGCUAACCAGUACUAAUGAACCGUGAGGCUUAACCUG